AAUGAUGAACGAACGCAACUUGAAUUUUACACUGCGAGUUGACAUUAAACGCACUAAUGACGAAUUAAACAACGAAAAGAAGAUUGUUAAUCGGUUAAAGGAAGAAGUUCAACGGCUUAUGAAAGAGAUUACUAACUAUGAAUCUCUACAAUUGGAUCAUCAAGCACAAUGUCAGCAGUAUGAACAGGAUAUUCAUACAUCUGAAGAAAAAUAUUUAGAUUCUUUGGCAAGAAUGUAAAAGAUUAGAAGUAAAAUUAUCAGAAACCAAAAGACAAAAUGAGAAUUUACUUCAAGAACAAAAGUCUCUAAACGAAGCACUUACAUCAGCACGUUCAAAAAAUGAAAACUUGAAUUGAAACUUGUGGAUUUAAAGAAACAACUUUCAACUCAUCGCAUGUUGAAGAAACGCAACCAAGAAGAAAAUGAAGAAUUGCGUUCGGAAAUAGAACGCGUUAAAGGCGAUUUUAAAGCGCAAAACGAACGCCAAUGGUGGCUGAAAACUGGCGAAUUUUUAUUUGACAAGUUUACUUUAUGUGCAUAUGUUUUGUUCCCUGCAAUGCCACGACGUUUCCCAACUGAACAUCUGCUUGUCUUGAUAGUUCAAUCGCACUUGGAUCGCUUUAAAAUAAUUUAAAUUUGAUUUCAACUGGAAUAAAGAAGAAUCAAGAAGAGGAUGAAGUGAUAUUAAGGUAGGUGGAAUAUUUUUACAAAGAUAUUGGUUUAUAUCUAUAACACAAUUCAUAUUUACUCAUUUAUUUGCCUUUUUCUAUUGUAUAAUAUUUUUAUAACAAAUAUAUGAUGUUGAAAAUGC